rnacentral:rRNA from 1 species
GAACGCUGGCGGCGUGCUUAACACAUGCAAGUCGAACGGAAAGGCUCCUGCUUGCAGGGGUACUCGAGUGGCGAACGGGUGAGUAACACGUGGUUUAUCUGCCCUGCACUUCGUGAUAAGCCUGGGAAACUGGGUCUAAUACCGGAUAGGACGAUGUUUUGGAUGCCAUUGUGGAAAGUUUUUCGGUGUGGGAUGGGCUCGCGGCCUAUCAGCUUGUUGGUGGGGUAAUGGCCUAUCAAGGCGUCGAAGGUUAGCCGGCCUGAGAGGGUGUACGGCCACAUUGGGACUGAGAUACGGCCCAGAAUCCUACGGGAGGCAGCAGUGGGGAAUAUUGCACAAUGGGGGGAAGCCUGAUGCAGCGACGCCGCGUGGGGGAUGACGGCCUUCGGGUUGUAAACUCCUUUCGCUAGGGACGAAGCGCAAGUGACGGUACCUGGAGAAGAAGCACCGGCUAACUACGUG